AAGUCGUAACAAGGUUUCCGUCCCACAGAAAAUUACCGUCCGCCUCGUAGCGCGACCGGUAACCCCGAACAACUGUUAACAAUGGAUAUCUUGGCUCUC
rnacentral:misc_RNA from 1 species